AAGUCGUAACAAGGUUUCCGUAGGUGAACCUGCGGAAGGAUCAUUACAGAGAAUCUGCCCCGGCCAGUCUCCAACCUUUCGUUCAUUUCAUACUUGUUCGCUUUGGCAUGGCCCUGGCCCCGGGCCCGCCCGGCGUUCCGGCCUUGGCCAGCGGCUCUGCCAGAGGACCCCAAACUCUUGUUUUAUUGUCGUCUGAGUACUAUAUAAUAGUUAAAA
rnacentral:misc_RNA from 1 species